rnacentral:rRNA from 1 species
AUGAAGUCGGAGUUGCUAGUAAUCGCGGAUCAGCAUGCCGCGGUGAAUACGUUCCCGGGCCUUGUACACACCGCCCGUCACACCAUGGGAGUUGGGAGUGCCCAAAGCCGGUGAGGCAACCGAAAGGAGCCAGCCGUCUAAGGCAAGACCAAUGACUGGGUGAAGUCGUAACAAGGUAAC